AAAAACAAAGCAAUAGAGCAAGAACAAGGGGGAGGGUUUCGGCCCCCUCCAAGAGAAAAGAAAAAAAUUCCAAGUCCAUUAAUCUUGGUCCAAAAAUCAUAAUUUUCUAGCAAUAUUACUAACUCAAGGAUGCUCUUCAAGAUGGUAUAAUUUUUAAGGCAAGAAAGCACUUGUGUUGGCAAGUGGAAGUUUGAAGAAGUUGAAGAGAAAAGAUUCUGAGCGAAACGGGAUUCGAUUUUGGACAAGCGUAGGGAGCGCGAAAGGUACAGAGGUUCGUGAUCUGCCAGUGUAGGCCACAUGUUCUGCUAUUACAGAGUGCUCCUUUCGAUCCGGAGCCCAUGUGUCGGUAUAUAUUUUUUUUUGUGACGUAUAUGUAUCUGUAUACUUGACUAUGUGGGGUACGGCGGGGCCCUGUCCCGUCAUAUGUUUUCGUUUUGUAAUUGUAGAGGCCUGUAGUCAUAUAUGUGGGUCGAGGGUCCUAUAUGUGUCUGUUUUGAUUACGAUCUGUGUCUUAAUGCGGUCCGUCUGUUAUGGUGGCCAAAAUGGCCCUUAUGUUUAUAUUUGUACACAUGAUCGGCGAUGUGCAUUCCGCCGCUUCUAUCUGUUCCGAUAUGAUAUUUUGGUACGCACGACCGCUUAAGACAA